AUUGAACGCUGGCGGCAGGCCUAACACAUGCAAGUCGAACGAGUGGCGGACGGGUGAGUAAUGUCUGGGAAACUGCCUGUUGGAGGGGGAUAACUACUGGAAACGGUAGCUAAUACCGCAUACCAUCAGAAGUGCCCAGAUGGGAUUCGCUUGUUGGUGGGGUAAAGGCUCACCAAGGCCACGAUCCCUAGCUGGUCUUAGAGGUUGAACGGCCAAACUGGAACGGAGACACGGUCCAGACCCCGACGGGAGGCAGCAGUGGGGAAUAUUGCACAAUGGGCGCAAGUCUGAUGCAGACAUGCCGCGUGUAUGAAGAAGGCCUUCGGGUUGUAAAGUACUUUCAGCGGGGAGGCGUUACCCGCAGAAGAAGCACCGGCUAACUACGUGCCAGCAGCCGCGGUAAUUC
rnacentral:rRNA from 1 species